rnacentral:lncRNA from 1 species
UUCUGCAUGAUACGUGCAUGAAUCAACAUGGAUAUCUAAAUAUGUGUCAUUUGCGGGCCGAUAAUUGAAAUUGAUGGAUUCAUUGAAUCCAAAAAUUGAAUUGAUUCAUCUUUUAUAAUUUUGUUUUUAAUUUUUUCUUGCAGUUGUAAAUGGAAUCUUACGUGGUGAAAAUGUAGGCACAAGAAGGAGGCCGACCUCAAGAUACGGCGCUAGCUCAAUACCACCUCAAACCGAUAAGAAUGCGUCAAAC